ACCUACUGAGGGCAGAACAGGCAACUGCCACACCUUUAUGGUCUUAACGAGAUGCUGGAAAUGCCACCCAGCCAGUAGGA
ncrna:unclassified sequences skipping-rope RNA